rnacentral:rRNA from 1 species
GACGAACGCUGGCGGCGUGCUUAACACAUGCAAGUCGAACGGAAAGGCCCUGCUUUUGUGGGGUGCUCGAGUGGCGAACGGGUGAGUAACACGUGAGUAACCUGCCCUUGACUUUGGGAUAACUUCAGGCAACUGGGGCUAAUACCGGAUAGGAGCUCCUGCUGCAUGGUGGGGGUUGGAAAGUUUCGGCGGUUGGGGAUGGACUCGCGGCUUAUCAGCUUGUUGGUGGGGUAGGUGCUUACCAAGGCUUUGAGGGGUAGCCGGCCUGAGAGGGUGACCGGCCACAUUGGGACUGAGAUACGGCCCAGACUCCUACGGGAGGCAGGAGUGGGGAAUAUUGCACAAUGGGCGGAAGCCUGAUGCAGCAACGCCGCGUGCGGGAUGACGGCCUUCGGGUUGUAAACCGCUUUCGCCUGUGACGAAGCGUGAGUGACGGUAAUGGGUAAAGAAGCACCGGCUAACUACGUG